rnacentral:lncRNA from 1 species
UUACCAUUGCAAUUAAUCAUGCGAGAGCAAGAUAAAUGCACAAAUCAUAUUUUCUUCAAACACAUGACCAUAUUAUAUAUAAAACUGAUACAACAAUAUCAUAGAGUUGUACUGGAACAACAUUUUUCAUUUUUAGAUUUUUAUUUAUGAUUAUAAACCAUUUAUCAAGCCCUAUGCAAGUUAAAUCCAUAACUCAUUUAUACUGCAAGCAAAAAUUAUGCAAAUUUUACCAUACAACAAACAUCACAUGUGUAGCAUGCCACAGAUAUUUCACUUCAUUUGGAGCUCUACAGCUG